UACGAAGGGGGCUAGCGUUGCUCGGAAUCACUGGGCGUAAAGGGUGCGUAGGCGGGUCUUUAAGUCAGAGGUGAAAUCCUGGAGCUCAACUCCAGAACUGCCUUUGAUACUGAGGAUCUUGAGUUCGGGAGAGGUGAGUGGAACUGCGAGUGUAGAGGUGAAAUUCGUAGAUAUUCGCAAGAACACCAGUGGCGAAGGCGGGUCUCUGGGCCGAUACUGACGCUGAGGAGCGAAAGCGUGGGGAGCGAACAGG
rnacentral:rRNA from 1 species